rnacentral:rRNA from 1 species
UACAGAGGGUGCAAGCGUUAAUCGGAAUUACUGGGCGUAAAGCGCGCGUAGGCGGCUUUGUAAGUUAGAGGUGAAAGCCCGGGGCUCAACUCCGGAACUGCCUUUAAGACUGCAUCGCUUGAAUCCAGGAGAGGUGAGUGGAAUUCCGAGUGUAGAGGUGAAAUUCGUAGAUAUUCGGAAGAACACCAGUGGCGAAGGCGGCUCACUGGACUGGUAUUGACGCUGAGGUGCGAAAGCGUGGGGAGCGAACAGG